UGCAAUGCUUAAUGAAUAUCA
rnacentral:piRNA from 1 species